rnacentral:lncRNA from 1 species
GCCCUUUCCUCAUCAGUACUUAAGUAUUAUGUAUUAGCAAGCAUUUUCCAAGAAUAAGAAAAUUCUCCCAUGUAAUCAUAGCAGUUAACAACUUCUCCUGAUGCUAUCCCUACCCUAGCCCCCAAUCCCCUGACAGGCCCCAGUGUGUGAUGUUCCCCUCCCUGUGUCCAUAUGUUCUCAUUGUUCAACUCCCCCUUAUGAGUGAGAACAUGCAAUGUU